rnacentral:rRNA from 1 species
UACAGAGGAUGCAAGCGUUAUCCGGAAUGAUUGGGCGUAAAGCGUCUGUAGGUGGCUUUUUAAGUCCGCCGUCAAAUCCCAGGGCUCAACUCUGGACAGGCGGUGGAAACUACCAAGCUGGAGUACGGUAGGGGCAGAGGGAAUUUCCGGUGGAGCGGUGAAAUGCGCAGAUAUCAGGAGGAACACCGAUGGCGAAGGCAGCUCGCUGGGACGUGACUGACGCUGAGACGCGAAAGCGUGGGGAGCAAACAGG